GAUUGAAUACGGAGUGUAGAAUACACGAGCGGCGGACGGGUGAGUAACGCGUAAGAAUGUACCCCAAAGUGAGGGAUAAGCACCAGAAAUGGUGUCUAAUACCGCAUGUGCUCUUCGGAGUAAAGCUUUAUGCGCUUUGGGAACAGCUUGCGUCUGAUUAGCUAGUUGGUAAGGUAACGGCUUACCAAGGCGACGAUCAGUAGCUGGUCUGAGAGGAUGACCAGCCACACUGGGACUGAGACACGGCCCAGACUCCUACGGGAGGCAGCAGUAGGGAAUUUUCCACAAUGGACGAGAGUCUGAUGGAGCAACGCCGCGUGAUGGAUGAAGGCCUUAGGGUCGUAAACAUCUUUUAUCUGUGACGAAUAUGACGGUAGCAGAUGAAUAAGGGUCGGCUAACUACGUGCCAGCAGCCGCGGUCAUACGUAGGACCCAAGCGUUAUCCGGAUUUACUGGGCGUAAAGAGUUGCGUAGGUGGCAGAGUAAGUAAAUAGUGAAAUCGUACGGCUCAACCGUAUAUCCAUUAUUUAAACUGCUCAGCUUGAGAGUGAGAGAGGUAGAUGGAAUUGCUAGUGUAGGAGUGAAAUCCGUAGAUAUUAGCA
rnacentral:rRNA from 1 species